rnacentral:tRNA from 1 species
UUUUUGGUGGCCGAGUUCUAGGCAAUAAACUUUUAAUUUAUUUACGAUUAUAUCCCUUGCGAUG